AUGGCAGAGCUGGUGGCCACCAUGGUAGUUGGGCCACUGCUGUCUAUUGUGAAGGAGAAGGCGUCCGGCUACCUGCUGGACCAGUACAAGGUGAUGGAGGGUAUGGAGCAGCAGCACAGGAUCCUCAAACGCAAGCUGCUGGCCAUCCUGGACGUCGUCGCCGAUGCUGAGCAGGCGGCGUCCCACAGAGAAGGGGCCAAGGCUUGGCUUGAGGAGGUCAAGAGGGUGGCUUAUGAGGCGAACGAGAUCUUCGACGAGUUCAAGUAUGAGGCGCUCCGCCGCGAAGCCAAGAAGAAUGGGCACUACAGCAAGCUCGGCUUCGAGGUAGUAAAACUCUUCCCCACCCACAACCGUUUUGCAUUCCGUGACAAAAUGGGGAAGAAGCUCUGCAGCAUUGUGCAGGCCAUUGAGGUUCUUGUGGCUGAGAUGAAUGCCUUUGGGUUUAAAUAUCAGCAGCAAGUACCAGCAUCCAUGCAGUGGAGGCAGACAGAUCCUGUUAUCUUCGAUCCAAAGAAAAUCAUCAGCAGAUCAAGAGACCAAGAUACUUCAAAUAUUGUUGAUAUACUACUUGGUCAAGUCAGCAAUGAAAGUCUCAUGGUUGUUCCCAUUGUUGGAAUAGGGGGGCUAGGCAAGACCACCUUAGCGCAGCUCAUUUACAAUGAACCUGAAAUUCAGAAGCAUUUCGAGUUGCUGAUCUGGGUUUGUGUCUCUGACAACUUCGAUGUUGAUUCUCUGGCUAAAAAAAUUGCUGAAGCAGCAAGUCCCAACAAAGGCCAAGUGCAAGAUGUACUAAGUGGACGCAGAUUCCUCCUUGUAUUAGAUGACGUGUGGAACCGAGAGAGUGAUAAGUGGGAAAAGCUCAAGGCCCGUCUAACACAUGGUGCCAAGGGUAGUGUGGUUCUGACAACUACUCGUGAUGAAGGAGUUGCAAAAAUAAUGGGUACAGUUAAAGCCUAUAAUCUCGCACCUUUGGAGGAUAAUUUCAUACAGGAAAUUAUCGAGACGAGAGCAUUCAGAUUGCAGAAAGAUGAAGAAAGGCCUGUCGUGCUAGUUAAUAUGGUUGGUGAAAUUGUCAAGAGAUGA
rnacentral:rRNA from 1 species